GACGAACGCUGGCGGCGUGCUUAACACAUGCCAGUCGUACGGUAAGGCCCUUUCGGGGGUACACGAGUGGCGAACGGGUGAGUAACACGUGAGUAACCUGCCCACAACUUUGGGAUAACGCUAGGAAACUGGUGCUAAUACUGGAUAUGUGCUCCUGCUGCAUGGUGGGGGUUGGAAAGCUCCGGCGGUUGUGGAUGGACUCGCGGCCUAUCAGCUUGUUGGUGGGGUAGUGGCCUACCAAGGCGGCGACGGGUAGCCGGCCUGAGAGGGUGACCGGCCACAUUGGGACUGGGAUACGGCCCAGACUCCUACGGGAGGCAGCAGUGGGGAAUAUUGCACAAUGGGCGCAAGCCUGAUGCAGCAACGCCGCGUGCGGGAUGACGGCCUUCGGGUUGUAAACCGCGUUCAGCAGGGACGAAGCUUUUUGUGACGGUACCUGCAGAAGAAGCACCGGCUAACUACGUG
rnacentral:rRNA from 1 species